GGGCCGCUAGCUCAAUUGGUAGAGCAGUUGACUCUUAAUCAACGGGUUCGAGGUUCGAGUCCUCGGCGGCUCA
rnacentral:tRNA from 1 species